CAUCGAGGGAGUUCGUUCUUCCCCGGGGGCGGUGUCGUCUAUAUACGGUACAUUAUAUUCUAGUUAGAGCAAGAACUCCGGGGGAAGAUUCAGUUUCAAAGUGGGCCACCACCGGGGCGCGUAAUAACGAAACGGCGGAGGAAAAGUUUUCGCUAAACUGCUUCGGUCGAAAUACAAAUCGUUGGUCGGUCGAAAGCAAACCGCAUAGACACCACCAGUUUCUAUAUUUCCCUGGUGUGAUUCUGUUAUCUCGUUCGAACCACUUCACGUUCGUUAAUUCUCUGUCUGUAUCAUUCUUCAAAUGACCUAAUUUCAAUUAAUCCAUUAAGACCAACGUUACGUUAACACGACAAUUUAUUUGCUAUCUUUUUCUUCAGUCAAGAUACAUUAUCAAAUUCUAUUUUUUAGUAUUGCGACUAUGAAAGGAAGUGGGUUAAAGUGAAACACGAACAUGAUGUAGGAGGUACUA